rnacentral:rRNA from 1 species
UAGAACGCACAGUUUAUACCGUAGCUUGCUACACCAUAGACUGUGAGUUGCGAACGGGUGAGUAACGCGUAGGUAACCUGCCUGGUAUCGGGGGAUAACUAUUGGAAACGAUAGCUAAUACCGCAUAAUAUUGAUUAUUGCAUGAUAAUUGAUUGAAAGAUGCUAUUGCAUCACUACCAGAUGGACCUGCGUUGUAUUAGCUAGUAGGUGAGGUAACGGCUCACCUAGGCGACGAUACAUGGCCGACCUGAGAGGGUGAUCGGCCACACUGGGACUGAAACACGGCCCAGACUCCUACGGGAGGCAGCAGUAGGGAAUCUUCGGCAAUGGACGAAAGUCUGACCGAGCAACGCCGCGUGAGUGAAGAAGGUUUUCGGAUCGUAAAGCUCUGUUGUAAGAGAAGAACGGGUGUGAGAGUGGAAAGUUCACACUGUGACGGUAUCUUACCAGAAAGGGACGGCUAACUACGUGCCAGCAGCCGCGGUAAUACGUAGGUCCCGAGCGUUGUCCGGAUUUAUUGGGCGUAAAGCGAGCGCA